rnacentral:rRNA from 1 species
GACGAACGCUGGCGGCGUGCUUAACACAUGCAAGUCAAACGGAGAGGCCCUGCUUUUGUGGGUUGCUCGAGGGGCGAAGGGGUGAGAAACACGUGGGUAACCUGCCCUUGACUUUGGGAUAACUUCAGGAAACUGGGGCUAAUACCGGAUAUGCGCUCCUGCGGCAUGGUGGGGGUUGGAAAGGUUCGGCGGUUGGGGGUGGACUCGCGGCUUAUCAGCUUGGUGGUGGGGUAGUGGCUUACCAAGGCGUUGACUGGUAGCCGGACUGGGAGGGUUAACGGCGACAUUGGGACUGAGCUACGGCCGGGACUAGUACGGGAGGCAGUAGCGGAGAAUAUUGCACAAUGGGGGGACGACUGAGGCAGCAACGCGGAGUGCGGGAUGAUGGACUUCUGGGUGGAAACCGAUUUAGACUGUGACGAAGCGUGCGUGACGGUAACGGAUAAAGAAGCCCCGGCUAACUACGUG